GGCGAAAAGAACCCCGGCGAGGGGAGUGAAAAAGAACCUGAAACCGUGUACGUACAAGCAGUGGGAGCCUCUUAAUGGGGUGACUGCGUACCUUUUGUAUAAUGGGUCAGCGACUUAUAUUCUGUAGCAAGGUUAACCGAAUAGGGGAGCCGAAGGGAAACCGAGUCUUAACUGGGCGUUAAGUUGCAGGGUAUAGACCCGAAACCCGGUGAUCUAGCCAUGGGCAGGUUGAAGGUUGGGUAACACUAACUGGAGGACCGAACCGACUAAUGUUGAAAAAUUAGCGGAUGACUUGUGGCUGGGGGUGAAAGGCCAAUCAAACCGGGAGAUAGCUGGUUCUCCCCGAAAGCUAUUUAGGUAGCGCCUCGUGAAUUCAUCUCCGGGGGUAGAGCACUGUUUCGGCAAGGGGGUCAUCCCGACUUACCAACCCGAUGCAAACUGCGAAUACCGGAGAAUGUUAUCACGGGAGACACACGGCGGGUGCUAACGUCCGUCGUGAAGAGGGAAACAACCCAGACCGCCAGCUAAGGUCCCAAAGUCAUGGUUAAGUGGGAAACGAUGUGGGAAGGCCCAGACAGCCAGGAUGUUGGCUUAGAAGCAGCCAUCAUUUAAAGAAAGCGUAAUAGCUCACUGGUCGAGUCGGCCUGCGCGGAAGAUGUAACGGGGCUAAACCAUGCACCGAAGCUGCGGCAGCGACACUAUGUGUUGUUGGGUAGGGGAGCGUUCUGUAAGCCUGUGAAGGUGGCCUGUGAGGGUUGCUGGAGGUAUCAGAAGUGCGAAUGCUGACAUAAGUAACGAUAAAGCGGGUGAAAAGCCCGCUCGCCGGAAGACCAAGGGUUCCUGUCCAACGUUAAUCGGGGCAGGGUGAGUCGACCCCUAAGGCGAGGCCGAAAGGCGUAGUCGAUGGGAAACAGGUUAAUAUUCCUGUACUUGGUGUUACUGCGAAGGGGGGACGGAGAAGGCUAUGUUGGCCGGGCGACGGUUGUCCCGGUUUAAGCGUGUAGGCUGGUUUUCCAGGCAAAUCCGGAAAAUCAAGGCUGAGGCGUGAUGACGAGGCACUACGGUGCUGAAGCGACAAAUGCCCUGCUUCCAGGAAAAGCCUCUAAGCAUCAGGUAACAUCAAAUCGUACCCCAAACCGACACAGGUGGUCAGGUAGAGAAUACCAAGGCGCUUGAGAGAACUCGGGUGAAGGAACUAGGCAAAAUGGUGCCGUAACUUCGGGAGAAGGCACGCUGAUAUGUAGGUGAAGCGACUUGCUCGUGGAGCUGAAAUCAGUCGAAGAUACCAGCUGGCUGCAACUGUUUAUUAAAAACACAGCACUGUGCAAACACGAAAGUGGACGUAUACGGUGUGACGCCUGCCCGGUGCCGGAAGGUUAAUUGAUGGGGUUAGCGGUAACGCGAAGCUCUUGAUCGAAGCCCCGGUAAACGGCGGCCGUAACUAUAACGGUCCUAAGGUAGCGAAAUUCCUUGUCGGGUAAGUUCCGACCUGCACGAAUGGCGUAAUGAUGGCCAGGCUGUCUCCACCCGAGACUCAGUGAAAUUGAACUCGCUGUGAAGAUGCAGUGUACCCGCGGCAAGACGGAAAGACCCCGUGAACCUUUACUAUAGCUUGACACUGAACAUUGAGCCUUGAUGUGUAGGAUAGGUGGGAGGCUUUGAAGUGUGGACGCCAGUCUGCAUGGAGCCGACCUUGAAAUACCACCCUUUAAUGUUUGAUGUUCUAACGUGGGCCCCUUACCGGGGUUGCGGACAGUGUCUGGUGGGUAGUUUGA
rnacentral:rRNA from 1 species